UACAGAGGUCUCAAGCGUUGUUCGGAUUCAUUGGGCGUAAAGGGUGCGUAGGCGGCGCGGUAAGUCGGGUGUGAAAUCUCGGAGCUUAACUCCGAAACUGCAUUUGAUACUGCCGUGCUUGAGGACUGGAGAGGAGACUGGAAUUUACGGUGUAGCGGUGAAAUGCGUAGAUAUCUGGAGGAACACCAAUUGCGAAGGCAGCUUGCUGGGACGGUACUGACGCUGAGGCGCGAAAGCGUGGGGAGCAAACAGG
rnacentral:rRNA from 1 species